rnacentral:lncRNA from 8 species
GCCACCCCAUAUGAUAUGGUAUGAUAUGGAAGGUCACGUAAUGUAACGCAAUGUAAUGUUGUAGUGUAAUGCUGUGUUGCCUUUCAGGAACCUUCUUCGCUGGACCACCAGGACCUGCUGGCCCAACUGGUCUUCCGGGAUCACCAGGUACAGAGGGGUCCAACUCACUGUCUAUACCAUUUGUGUUUUUAUCAUAGUCAAUUUGGUCGAAACAGAAGUUAUGUGCACUCAUCUUGUAAAUCAUUUUAUUGUUUCCUAAUGUAAACCAGGACCCCAGGGUUACCAAGGUAAGCAAUUUUAAAGGCAUCUCCAUGUCAAAGGGCUGGAUUGAUAUCAUAGUAGGCUAUGAACUGUACAGCACUUUGAGAUAUCAGCUGAUGUAAGAAGGGCUAUAUAAAUACAUUUGAUUUGAUUUGAACUGGCUCAGUCACAUACUAUUUACAUGGCAGACUUAGUGAUAGACUUAAAAUGUCGACCUUAACGCAAUUUGAUCUAUGUUUCAGGUGACCCAGGUCAGCCCGGUUUACCAGGAGUUCCCGGAGAUCCCGGUGUCGGUGGGUGGAUCAAAUAUUUAUCAGAAGCAUAGUUAAACUGUCGCUUGGGUUACAACCAACAUUUACUUCUGAAUUUACUUAAUCCUUGUGGGUAUAUGUUGUAUUGUUCAUUGUAUUGUUUUCUCCCCAGGUUUCCCUGGACCCCAGGGACAACCUGGAGGUCCAGGACCAGAAGGUGACAGUGGACUUCUAGGGCCCCAAGGUCCAGAGGGCCCCGAGGGGCAACCGGGUCCAAAAGGUGAGGCUGGCGUUCCAGGUGCUCCAGGAAUCCCUGGCUACUCCAGUGGUGGAUCAUCCAGGAGUUCCCCUGGAGCACCAGGUCCACCUGGACCUCCCGGGGAACCCGGCCGUGAUGGGCUACCUGGGUCUGGGGAUGGAACACCGGACGUCCGUCAAUACAUCACAGAAUACCUCAAGAGCGAUGGUGUCAGGGAGUACAUGUCGGGUCCUCCGGGUCCUCCGGGCGUACCGGGGCCCCCUGGUGGUGGAUCAGUGGAGUCAGUGGAUGACCUUGCUAGUCGCGUCAUCGCAUACAUCCAGAGUGGAGGUAUUGCUAGUGGGGUGCCUGGACCUCCAGGCCCGCCUGGCGCUCCAGGUGGAGGCAGUACAUCGCUAAAUGACAUCAUCAGCCUUCUACAGAGGGAGGAAGUGCGACACUACAUCGUCGGUCCUCCUGGCCCUGCUGGACCUCCUGGCAUCCCAGGGAUCCCAUGGAGAGGAGGCUAUGGCUUUAAUACCAAUGAGGUGGCUGGACGAGUCCUCAAUCUAAUGAAUGAGCAGGGUAUGGUGGGCAUGCUCGGACCCCCUGGACCUCCCGGCCCACCGGGCCUACCUGGGUCCCACAGUGACAUCUCUUAUCUUCUGCAAAAUGCUGAAUACAAAGGCGUCUUGGGCGCUCAGGGGCCUCCUGGUCCACCUGGUGUCCCAGGCCCUGCUGGCCCUCAAGGCCCCACCGGUCCUUCAGGACAGGCCCCCUACAGCAGCUCUGGAUACAGGCUGGAGGAGGUCAAGGACUACAUACAGAGUGAUGGUACAAGAGGGGGAAUGUUUGGGCCUCCAGGCCCCCCAGGUCCCCCUGGACCCCAGGGACAUAAGGGAGAGCAGGGUAGCUCUGGGUACGGCCACGCCUUCGACCACAGGACCAGCGAGGGAAGAAGGCUGGCUGAGACUGAGACUGAGACAGACUACUCCAAUAUAGCGGUCCGAGUGACUGACUACAUCAAGUACCAUGGUCUGUUGAGGGAUGUGGUUGAGAACCAGUCUCAGCUGGAGAAGUCACAGGUUGUUCAAGGACCCCCAGGACCCCCUGGCCCUCCCGGUGCGCCAGGAUUCAGCCGUGUGUUUGGUUCCCAUAGUAACGCCACUGACCUUGUGGAAUACAUCAGAGCCCAUGGAAACAUUGUGGGACCCCCUGGAAGGCCAGGACAGAAAGGGGACAUAGGACAUACAGGUCACAAAGGCGAGAGAGGAGAAUACACACUUGUGACGCACAGAAGAAAGAGGAAUGUUGGUGUUUCAGAAACAAAUGAUUGA